GGGACGCCGGGGGAGGGGCGGAGGCCACAGAACGCCUGACCUGGCUGGCGACCCGCACCCACACAGCGGCUGUGCACCCUCCCGCUCCCGCAGUCGCACACACACACCCACACGAGGGAGGAGGAGGGAGCCUUGGCACGGGAGGAGUUGGCAGUGCACAGCCCCGCGCCGCCGCCGCGGCGGGAGGGGCGCUCCAGCCCCUGGGUCAGCACGCCCCCAGAAGGAGGGGAGAAUGUGCUCUGCGCCCCCCAGUCCCCCAACCCCGCCUAGCCCCUUCACAGCAAAUGUGCUUUUUGCCCUGCGAUUGUGUGAGACCGACCUUAAACUUUCUCCGACCCUAUCUUGGGAUGCUAGGGCUCAGGUCGUGGUGGUUUCGGGAACCUCACGACAAAAUUCCCCAGUUGACUUUUGGGAACUUUAACUCGGGUGGUCCUGUACGGAAAGGUAGUCUAUGGGGUGCGCAGAAUGGAAAAGGGCUUCCACAUCAGUGGUGUUCGAGGACGCUCUCCAACUUUUGAUGUCCCGUUUGCACGGAGAUUUCCCUGGAGAGUUUCAGAAAGGAUUUCUUCCGACAGACGUGACCCCAGAAGGCUGCCGAGGGAGAGUUUAGGACAAGAGGAGUUGUUUUUUACAAGGAUGUCUGCGUGGAAAUCCCUGGACACUCGAUACCCCCGGGGGACCUGCUUUUCCCGCAGCUCCGCAGACGCGGCAGAAGGGCGCGCUGGCCCCGGCGCUGCUGGGACAGAGGUGAGCGGCGGGGUGGACAUUGACCGAUUCGACAACCUUCGGGCUCUAAGGGCUCGGGAAGGGACCCGGCAUUUUACCCUCCAGAUUCCCAAUCUAUUUUUAAAAAUAAUGUUCAAAACAAAUGGGAAAAAUAAGUGA
rnacentral:lncRNA from 1 species